UACAGAGGGGGCAAGCGUUGUUCGGAAUUACUGGGCGUAAAGGGCGCGUAGGCGGCCCCGCUAAGUCGAACGUGAAAUCCCCGGGCUCAACCCGGGAACUGCGUCCGAUACUGGUAGGCUUGAAUCCGGGAGAGGGAUGCGGAAUUCCAGGUGUAGCGGUGAAAUGCGUAGAUAUCUGGAGGAACACCGGUGGCGAAGGCGGCAUCCUGGACCGGUAUUGACGCUGAGGCGCGAAAGCCAGGGGAGCAAACGGG
rnacentral:rRNA from 1 species